rnacentral:misc_RNA from 1 species
UGAAAUCUGAGUUGAUGGCCAGGACAAAAGAUUUUGAAGAACUGAGCAAAAGAUCCCUUGGAUCAGAUUCUAUUUUAAGAGUGGUUCAAGUGGUUGAGGGAGUCAUUUCUCUAGAUAACUUUGAAAUCAACAUUAAUGAGCCAGUAUCAUGUCUAGAGUCCCUGACCUCUCUCCUUGUUCAGAAAUAUAAAGAGGCUAUUGAAGAUGUGAGGUUGUCCAGG